AUAAUGAUGCGGGGGGACUCUUUGGAGUUGAGAAGGUAAAACCUGACCCUUUGAACCUGUUGGUUAAGACCAACGUAGGGAGCAAUCAAUACAAAGAA
rnacentral:ncRNA from 2 species